GACCCGUGGCUUCCGGAGCUAACGCGUUAAAUCGACCGCCUGGGGAGUACGGCCGCAAGGUUAAAACUCAAAUGAAUUGACGGGGGCCCGCACAAGCGGUGGAGCAUGUGGUUUAAUUCGAAGCAACGCGAAGAACCUUACCUACUCUUGACAUCCAUAGAACAUUUGAGAGAUCAGAUGGUGCCUUCGGGAACUAUGAGACAGGUGCUGCAUGGCUGUCGUCA
rnacentral:rRNA from 1 species